rnacentral:lncRNA from 1 species
GUGUCAGAGGAGUUGCAGAAAACUGGGUAUUUAAAUAUCCAUUUUCCUUGGAGUCAUGCAGAAUUUUGGUACAGCCCAUUACAGGACUACUAUUGGGGAGUUGACUUUGUUGGGUAAGAGACUAAGAAAGCAAAUGUAAAUUUCAGGAUGACCCCUGAGCCGGCAGUACCCAGUGGCCACCUGUAGGUGGGUGUGUUAGCCUGUAAGUUUUUAAAAUUUUUGCUCUGCUGGGCAAGCAGCCAGUUUGUCUCUCUGGUGUCUGAGAUUGUUUGGAGUUUUUUGAUGACCUAGCAUGUUACACAAAU